rnacentral:tRNA from 1 species
GGAGGGAUGGCCGAGUGGUUUAAGGCACUAGUCUUGAAAACUAGCGUGGAUGAAAGUCCACCGUGGGUUCGAAUCCCACUCCCUCCGCCA